UAGCAUCGACGUUAGCAUCGAUGUUAGCAUCGACGUUAGCAUCAGCGCUAGC
ensembl:miRNA gmo-mir-11198 gmo-mir-11198